CUUAUGAAGCCCUCCACUGUGGAGGCUGCAAGAUUGGAGGGGAUGCCGUCGCCGAUCCUGGGUCCUCUGCUGCCAUUCCAUAGUGUCUUCCAGGUUCCUGAGACAUCUCUCCUGGCUCCCUUGACCUUCACAGCUCAUCCGACUUCAGUGCCAUCCAACAGAGAGCUGAAAGAAUUCAUCACCAACAGAUCUACACUACAAAGAAAUGUUAAAGGAAGUCCUUUAGGCACAAGGAAAAUGACACCAGAUGGGAAAGUGAAUGUACACAGAGGAAUACAGAGCACCAGAAAUGUAAUUUUUCUAGUAUCCACGUGUAUUAUGUUUACACCAAGGCAACAACUACCAACAAGUGGCAGUGAAGCACAGUGGCUAGAGUCCAGCUUCUGGGGCUGGGCUGGCUGUGCCUGAAUCCUCCUUCCACGGGCCCAAACCUGGGUGGCUGCAAGGUGGGAAGACGGUAGCCGCACCCAGCUCGCCAGACAGAGAGCCAGGAGCAGGAAGCGCUGUGGACACAGGCCAAGCACCCACACCGUUCCCAGGAGCCCGGCCUCAGAUCCUAUCUCCAGCUUACCCUGCCUUUGUCAAGCCCUCAGGACUUGGCAUCCAGGCCAGCGUUUGCCCAAACAAGCAGUGAGUCAGAGCUGGACAUCAGACCAUGCCAAGCAGGGCCAGGCCCACCAUGCCAAGGAUCUGGGGACACUAUCCCAG
rnacentral:lncRNA from 1 species